AACGCGAAGAACCUUACCUGGGCUCGAACGGCUUCGGAAAGCCGGUGGAAACACUGGUUCUCCCGCAAGGGAUCGGAGUCGAGGUGCUGCAUGGCUGUCGUCAGCUCGUGUCGUGAGAUGUUGGGUUAAGUCCCGCAACGAGCGCAACCCUUGUCCUGUGUUGGCAUGCCGAAAGGCGCAACUCUCAGGAGACCGCCAGCGAUAAGUUGGAGGAAGGUGGGGAUGACGUCAAGUCAUCAUGGCCUUUAUGUCCAGGGCUACACACGUGCUACAAUGGGCGGUACAAAGCGCUGCAAACCCGCGAGGGGGAGCUAAUCGCAAAAAACCGUUCUCAGUUCGGAUUGCAGGCUGCAACUCGCCUGCAUGAAGCUGGAAUCGCUAGUAAUGGCAUAUCAGAACGAUGCCGUGAAUACGUUCCCGGGUCUGUACACACGCUA
rnacentral:rRNA from 1 species